CACGCAAGAAGCAUUCAGUUUUACAUUAAGGUAUGUUUUGGACAACUUCCUUCACAGCUCCUCCAGUCAGGGUGAGGGUCUCAAGCACAGGCACAUGCUUCCGCCAUUUUCUGUCCUGCCAGGAGGAAGCGCCAUGGGGUCCUUCCCACCCAUCCUCGUUUAUCCUUCUGCAAAGAAUGCAAGUCAAGGCUUAACACAUUCAGCCCUGAGAUACUGAAGCUGGACAAUCAAAGGAGCAGAGGCUGUGGAUGCUACAUAGAUGAGACUCACUGGAAUUUAACUUCUAAUGCAGGUAUUUCACUCCUUGAUAAAAAAAAAAAA